AUGGAAUUGGGGCUGAGCUGGGUUUUCAUUGUUGCUAUUUUUAAAGGUGUCCAGUGUGAGGUGCAGCUGGUGGAGUCGGGGGGAGGCUUGGUGCAGCCUGGAGGGGCUCUGAAACUCUCAUGUGUAGCCUCUGGAUUCACCUUCAGUAGCUACAACAUGGACUGGGUCUGCCAGGCUCCAGGAAAGGGGCUGGAGUGGAUUGCAGGAAUUAGCAGCAGUGGUGGUAGUAUGUACUACCCAGACUCUGUGAAGGGCCGAUUCAUCAUCUCCAGAGACAAUAACAAGAACCAGCUGUAUCUGCAAAUGAACAGCCUAAGAGCUGAGGACACAGCCGUGUGUUCCUGUACUACAGGAACAGUAGUGACUUCAGUGUGA